GAUGAACGCUGGCGGCGUGCUUAACACAUGCAAGUCGAACGAUGAAGCCCAGCUUGCUGGGUGGAUUAGUGGCGAACGGGUGAGUAACACGUGAGUAACCUGCCCUUAACUCUGGGAUAAGCCUGGGAAACUGGGUCUAAUACCGGAUAGGAGCGCCUACCGCAUGGUGGGUGUUGGAAAGAUUUAUCGGUUUUGGAUGGACUCGCGGCCUAUCAGCUUGUUGGUGAAGUAAUGGCUCACCAAGGCGACGACGGGUAGCCGGCCUGAGAGGGUGACCGGCCACACUGGGACUGAGACACGGCCCAGACUCCUACGGGAGGCAGCAGUGGGGAAUAUUGCACAAUGGGCGAAAGCCUGAUGCAGCGACGCCGCGUGAGGGAUGACGGCCUUCGGGUUGUAAACCUCUUUCAGUAGGGAAGAAGCGAAAGUGACGGUACCUGCAGAAGAAGCACCGGCUAACUACGUG
rnacentral:rRNA from 1 species